rnacentral:rRNA from 1 species
GACGAACGCUGGCGGCGUGCUUAACACAUGCAAGUCGAACGGAAAGGCCCUGCUUUUGUGGGGUGCUCGAGUGGCGAACGGGUGAGUAACACGUGAGUAACCUGCCCUUGACUUUGGGAUAACUUCAGGAAACUGGGGCUAAUACCGGAUAGGAGCUCCUGCUGCAUGGUGGGGGUUGGAAAGUUUCGGCGGUUGGGGAUGGACUCGCGGCUUAUCAGCUUGUUGGUGGGGUAGUGGCUUACCAAGGCUUUGACGGGUAGCCGGCCUGAGAGGGUGACCGGCCACAUUGGGACUGAGAUACGGCCCAGACUCCUACGGGAGGCAGCAGUGGGGAAUAUUGCACAAUGGGCGGAAGCCUGAUGCAGCAACGCCGCGUGCGGGAUGACGGCCUUCGGGUUGUAAACCGCUUUCGCCUGUGACGAAGCGUGAGUGACGGUAAUGGGUAAAGAAGCACCGGCUAACUACGUGCCAGCAGCCGCGGUGAUACGUAGGGUGCGAGCGUUGUCCGGAUUUAUUGGGCGUAAAGGGCUCGUAGGUGGUUGAUCGCGUCGGAAGUGUAAUCUUGGGGCUUAACCCUGAGCGUGCUUUCGAUACGGGUUGACUUGAGGAAGGUAGGGGAGAAUGGAAUUCCUGGUGGAGCGGUGGAAUGCGCAGAUAUCAGGAGGAACACCAGUGGCGAAGGCGGUUCUCUGGGCCUUUCCUGACGCUGAGGAGCGAAAGCGUGGGGAGCGAACAGGCUUAGAUACCCUGGUAGUCCACGCUGUAAACGGUGGGUACUAGGUGUGGGGUCCAUUCCACGGGUUCCGUGCCGUAGCUAACGCUUUAAGUACCCCGCCUGGGGAGUACGGCCGCAAGGCUAAAACUCAAAGGAAUUGACGGGGCCCCGCACAAGCGGCGGAGCAUGCGGAUUAAUUCGAUGCAACGCGUAGAACCUUACCUGGGUUUGACAUGGAUCGGGAGUGCUCAGAGAUGGGUGUGCCUCUUUUGGGGUCGGUUCACAGGUGGUGCAUGGCUGUCGUCAGCUCGUGUCGUGAGAUGUUGGGUUAAGUCCCGCAACGAGCGCAACCCUUGUUCACUGUUGCCAGCACGUUAUGGUGGGGACUCAGUGGAGACCGCCGGGGUCAACUCGGAGGAAGGUGGGGAUGACGUCAAGUCAUCAUGCCCCUUAUGUCCAGGGCUUCACGCAUGCUACAAUGGCUGGUACAGAGAGUGGCGAGCCUGUGAGGGUGAGCGAAUCUCGGAAAGCCGGUCUCAGUUCGGAUUGGGGUCUGCAACUCGACCUCAUGAAGUCGGAGUCGCUAGUAAUCGCAGAUCAGCAACGCUGCGGUGAAUACUUUCCCGGGGCU